rnacentral:lncRNA from 1 species
AAGCAAGAAGCAAAAACAAACAAGGAAGAACCAAGUAUUGGGAAAGCCGCCGUAUAACACUCGUACAAGCGGUGGUCCUUCUCCAUCUAUCCAAUGAAUUUGGUUUAUUGGAACGUCCGAGGUAAGUGCUGUGCUGAUAUGGUUAGACACCCUUCCGGCGGAGUUACAUAUGGAUCUCUUGUGUGAAAGGUUGACUUGCUUAAGUACAAAUUUCCAUAGUCUUUUGUAGCUUGUUCUCAUUUUUUUUCCUUUGUUUUUUGAGGGUUUUGGCCUAGUCCCCC